rnacentral:lncRNA from 1 species
AAGAACGUCGCCCGGGAGGGGUUGCUAGCCUUGAGCUAUAGGCGCUGAUGCACACGGCUCAUUUUGUCAGACACGAAGAGGCGUUCAGAACGUCGGGGAACGACUGCGUGCUGCCGUGAAGAACUACAGGCCACCGUCCUCAGCCCUUCGUAAGUUAUCACAUGUCAAGAGUGGCCAGGAGAAUCAAAACGCCAGCGGAAAGGUUCUCCGCCUGGUCCUGACAAGGAGCCUUUGGCCGUAGGAGGGUCAGCUGCGUCCUUACUGGACUUGAAAAAGCAGUGAGGCCUCAAAUAAGAAUUUUCGUGGCUAGAUGGGGUAAUGUUCUGAGGAUCGGCAACUUGAAGAGGAGCAGCUCAGCCUGUUUUGUUGAUUUCAGUGGUACUGUUUUAAGGAAGCACGUAAGUACAGACAGGGUCUGGGAGGGUUUUUGAGCAGGACAGGAAAGAGCAAGGAAGAUUGGAGCAUGUGGAAAAACUAGGUGCCAUGAACAUACUGAAGUUGUUAAGGGCUGAGAGAAUUUGGGGUCAAGCCUCUGAAAGGGGC